CAUAUGAGGCAGGAACUUUGCCUAAUUGAGCACUGAGUAUUCCUGGACUCUAGCACAUGCCUGGAGCACAUAGUGCGGAGAUUGUGGAUCUAAGCUGGGAGCUGAGAGUAUUGAUCUGCAUUAUGAGCUGAGCGCAGCUAAGGCCACCGCCACGGCCACAGCCACCCGCAGAGGAUGCCCCUCUUCCAGAGCACCAGACCUUGAUGCGCCUGCGCGGAGGCGGGGCCGGGCUUUGCCCUUUGUUGUGGGCCCCAGUUUCCCAGGACACCGUGCGGC